rnacentral:lncRNA from 1 species
GAAAAUACAUUUACAAUGCUGUACUGUAUUUAUCCAUGGUGUAAUUUUACACCAUCUGUAUACAAGACGAAUUGUCAGUUUGAUAUGGUGGGCAACCACAGCUGCAGACCUCAAUAUAGUGUACAUACCAAGGAAUCCAACUUUUUCUUGUAAUGUCAUGACUUUUCUCUGCUUCUUGGGAGCGCUUUCAGCAUCACCAGUGGCAUUUCAUACUGGUCCCAUGGUGUUAAUCGAGGUUUAUGGUAUUGCACUAAACACGAUGAAAAACAGGAGAGAACGGAGAGGGAUCAUGUUUUACCACAAUACGCAAUUUAUGGGAGAGAUGAAGUGCUCAGGUGGAGAUGACUAGUGUCACUUGGUGUUUUAAGUGGAUACUCACAACGCUUGAACUCACAGCAAUAACAGCAAGAGUGAGAUUAAUAUUUACUCAGUGAACUUUGAGUAAAGCAUUAGGUGCUUCAUUAUGUGGAUGAGUCUCAUCCAAUCAGUUGAAGGUGACUGAAUAGAACCAUAGAUCGACCUCACAUAAAUGAGAGGGAAUUCUGCAACAGAUCAUCUUUGCCUUUGAACUGCAGCAUGGACUCCCCUCUGGGUCUCCUGCCUGCCAGCCCACCCUGCAGAGUUUGCAUUUGCCAGCCUCCACAAUCAGUAAUUUAUCCUGUGCAUCAGCAAGAGGAAGUCUAGAGCCAUGGAAACCAAGUCAGGAAACUUCUCUCUUAUUAUUAGGUCCA